UACAGAGGUCUCAAGCGUUGUUCGGAUUUACUGGGCGUAAAGGGCGCGUAGGCGGCGCAACAAGUCACUUGUGAAAUCUCCGGGCUUAACCCGGAGCGGUCAAGUGAUACUGUCGUGCUAGAGUGCGGAAGGGGCUACUGGAAUUCUCGGUGUAGCGGUGAAAUGCGUAGAUAUCGAGAGGAACACCUGCGGCGAAGGCGGGUAGCUGGGCCGACACUGACGCUGAUGCGCGAAAGCGUGGGGAGCAAACAGG
rnacentral:rRNA from 1 species